CCUUAUUUAUGUCUUUGCGGCAGAGUGGUUUAUAAAGAAUAUCUUAUUUACGGGUAUAGCAUUUAAGAAAAAAAGUUUCAACAGUUUUGUUUUUAAAGGGAAAAGACAGUGUUCAAGGAUGGAUAGCAUGUACAAACUGAGCAUAGUAUUCAUCUUAUACAUUCAAAGUUACAUUGGACAAUCCCAAGUCGAGCUGUCUACCAACGGCAAUUUAACGGUGGAGCUUUGUAAGAGCACGGUGAUAUGGUGCGCCUUCAAUGUCUCGGAUGAUAAUUUAAUACAAGGAGUGUCAUUGAACCUGACCAAAGAUGGCAUGACCAAAGUUCGUUUUCAUCCGUUAACCGUAACAACACCUUCAAGCGUAGAUCAAUCAAUUUCUGAAAGGGUUAAAGCUGAAAGAUUUACGGUGGACAAUAAAAACGCAACGGUGACUUUAUACUCCAUCGAAUCCAGUGAUAGUGGCACUUAUACCUGGACAGCGUCUUACUACAGUGGUGAAAAUAGAGACACCUACCAGAACGCAACAGCGAUCCAGACACUGACCUUUUCAGAUGCAGGUUGCCCGACAGCUUCUUACAAAGUGGAACUCGUUGUUGGAAUGCUUGUUGUUGCAUUCAUUUAUUUACAAUGACAUGAUCUAAAGUGAAGGAAUAUUCGUAUUCUUCUUCUUUCCUGACUGAUGAAAUAUGAAUUCUGUUAUUGGACAAAGUAGUGAUGACAAAAACAUAUUCUUUUUUUAUAAUACAUUUGUUUUGUUUCUGUAACGAGGACAAAUGCGUGCUGAAAUAUAUUCUUCUUCUUAACAACAACUUUGUUUUAUUGUUUUAUUCAAAAGCGAAUCUUUACUUAACUGAAAGAUUUUUAUGACUUGACACAAUUGUCUUAUGUUGAGCAAGGGGCAAAGCAGUCUCGGAUACCUUCUUAUUAUGUAUAUUAUUUAUUAUAUAAAUAACCUGAUUUUUGUAAGUGAGAAAGUAAGAGGUUGUGAAAGUGGGUACAAACCGUUUGUGAUAAUGGGAUAAAAAACAUGGCCAUAUUCUGACAAAAUACCAUGAAAUUGUACGCUCUGUGGACAAGACGUCUUAUAGAUACACAAACAUCUCAAUUGGACAUAAUACGAUGCCAAUUUGUUGGGCAUAAUAACAUGUCAAUAAGACACGUUCACGUUGGACAUUAUUAAAAGUCAGUUUGACAUAAUAACAUGUCACUAAAGUGUGAUAGAAUGCUAGUUAGACAUAGUAACUUGUCGGUCUAACAUAAUAACAUGUCUGUUAGACAUAGCCAUAGUAUGUCCCAUCUGCUAACACUAGAGAGUCUACCACAUCUGAUUACACUAGAAAAUUUACCGCAUCCGCUAACACUAAAGAGUCUAUCAUACUUGCUAACACUAGAUAAUCUACCACAUAUGUUAAGACUAGAAAGUCUACUACAUCUCUGCUAACACUAGAGAGUCUGCCACAUAUGCUAACAGUAGAGAGUAUACAACACCUGCUUAAACUAGAAAGUGUGUUUAUCAUGUCUGCUUAAACUAAAUACUCCACCACAAUGUUAACACUAACAAGUCUUCUAAAUCUGUGCUAAAACUAGAAAGUCUGACAUAUCUGCAAACAUUAAAGUCUACAUCGCCUUGUUAUACAAAAGAGUUAACCACAUCUGCUUAUACUAGAAUGUUUACAACGUCUGUUAACACUAGCGAAUCAACCAUCUAUCUGCUAACACAAUAGAGUCUACCACAUAUGUUAACACUUUAGAGUCUACCACAUCUGUAAACACUUGAGAGUCUACCACAUCUGUGCUAACACUAGAGAGUUUACCACUUUGAGUCUAACAAUAGAGAGUCUAAAACAUCUGUAUUAACACUAGAGAGUCAACCACAUUGGCUUACUCUUGAGAGUCUGCCAAAUAUGUGUUAACACUAGAGAGUCUGUCACAUUUGUGCUAACAGUAGACAAUUUCCAAAUCUCUGCUAACAUUUAAGAGUCUACCAUAUAUGUGCUAACACUAGAAAGUCAACCACAUGUGUGCAAAAACUAGCGAGUCAACAACAUCUGUUAACACUAGAGUAUCUACCACAUCAGUCAUUACUAGAGAGUCAACUACAUCUGCUAAUACUAGAGAGCCAAUCACAUCUUUACUAACACAAGUGAGUCUUCCACAUAUGUGCUCUCACUAGAAAGUCUAUCACAUCUCUGCUUUCACUUAAGAGUCUACCACAUAUGUGCUAACACUAGGGAAUCUACCACAUCUGUUCUAAGGGAAUAUAACACAUCUCAUAACAUUUAAGUGUCUACCACGUCCGUGCUAACACUAGAGAGUCUUCCAUAUAUGCACUAACACUAGAAAUUUUAUCACAUCUCUGCUUACACUUAAGAGUCUACCGCAUCUCUGCUUACACUUAAGAGUCUACCACAUAUGUGCAAACACUAGAGAGUCAACCGCAUCUGUGCUUACACAAGGGAAUCUAUAACAUCUGCUAACACAAGGGAUUAUACCACAUCUCAUAUUAUUAAAGAAUCUACCACAUCUAUGCUAACACUAGAAAGGUUAUCACAUCUUGUUUACACUUAGUUUUCCACAUCUCUGCUUACACUUAAGAGUCUAUCACAUCUGUGCUAACACUAGAGAGUCAACCACAUCCGCUUACACUAGAGAGUCUGUCAUAUCUGUGCUAACACUAGAGAGUCCACAACAUCUGCUUACACUAGAGAGUCUACCACAUCUGCCUACACUAGAGAGUCCACCAAAUCUGGGCUAACAUUAGAGAGUAUUCUAGAUCUGCACAUAGCUAUAUAGCUUUUCCGUAAAAGUUUGCUAGACUUGUGAAUUAAAAGGCACCUUAUGUAAGAAUUGACAGAUUAAUUGCCAACUAAAUAAAGACUCUAUUUACUUUUCGGUAAAACAUUUCACUCAUAACUAGACAAUAUUGAGUAGUCGUUCAAUACGGGAUUUAUUAAACGAGUCUUUUUUAAAUUGAUAAAACCAAGCUUUGGCGAAGUUUUAUCAGUUCUAAUAAUUCUGUCCAAUAAAUUUCGUAUUGAUGAGCAUGAAAAUGAUAUUCUAUCAUAGAUACGUUGUAUUUUUUUCAUUUACAGUCGAAACUCGUUAUGUCGACUUUUUCGGGAUCUAGUGAAAAAAGUCGGGAUAACGAAAAGUCAACUCAUCCGAAUUACAAAAAAUAUCACCAAUCCCAACACGUUUGAGUUAGAUUGAUUUCCGAUGUUUACAUCCACAAUUGAACGGUAUUGUUACAUAUUUCCGUCGUGAAAACAGCAAACUUAUUAUUGAAAAAUAAAGUGAAACAAAGAAGAAUUAUUUGUGUCGAAUUUAUUUCUUUUACGUUUAUGGAUCACACAAAACACAUAUAAAACCACAAUGGCAUACACUUGUACAUUGUAAGAAAACGGUAUAGCACAUAUGACAACAACUUUUAUAAAAUAGCACAUUCGUGUUUCGUUUAUACACAGCAAUAUAGCACAUUCUCAAAAUCAUUUUAUACCGGGUCUUUUUCUGAAUUGGUCGACCAGAGCAGUGGAACUAACAUUUGACAUUUUGAAGUUAUUUUUUCUGUGCCCAUUCGGGAUUGUUAUCGAAUCAAUAAAAUUUUCAUGUUUUAUACAAUACCAAAAAGAGCUUGAGCAAUAAAUGUCUCUUUAAUGAAAAACAUAAACAAACAACUUUAAUUAUUCGCACUAACCAAUUACAUUUUUGUUCCUCCAAUUAUGUCAGUUUGUUAUAUUGACAAGCACGGUAUUUUGCGACAUGCCGCAAACCGUCAUGAAUAUUUUCACACUUACGUCUCGAUCUACAGUUCGACAUAAAGAACAUAGGAAAUGUGUGAAAUUCGACCACAGGGACUGAAAAACGAGGUCGACAUAGCGAAAAAGUCGAGAUAAAAAAUCGACACAAACAGAUUUAUUUUAUAUAGAAUAAGAAGGAAUAAAUUCGGGACCGGAAGAAAAAGUCGACACAACCGGAAAGUCGACAUAUCCGACGUCGACAUAGCAAGUCUGGACUGUAUUUUGCACAUAGUGUACAUAUCAACAUACAGUACUAAAGGAAAAAAGCUAAAUCACAAUUCCACGCACGCACGCACUCACGCACGCACACACACACACGCGCGCACGCACGCACACACACAUACAUGCAUGGACACACACACACACACACACACACACGCACACACAAACAUACAUGCAUGGAUACAUAAACGUUUGUACUUACGAACGAUAUCCCCAUAUACUAGCUAAUGUUUUCAAAUUUUGAAUAUAUAAAUCAAGUCCUACGAUUGAUGUUAUUUAAGAACAUUUUGAGAGUUUUUGACAUGGCUAUGUGUGUCUUUAAUAGUUAAUUAAUGUUUGUCUUUCCCAUUUUUUAUUUUAGGUUUCAUAUUUAUUGUCGUUCAACGCUGUUUGUUCUUCUAUUUUAAAUCUUUGUUUCAAAUACAUCAAAUAUGCAUCAAAGGAUAGUAGUUGGUUGAGUGUGUAUGUUAAAUUUGAUAAAAAUAUUAAGGAAGUUACAAACGUUAUUGUUUUGUUUAUUUCCUAUUCCCAGUAAGGCUUCACGUUUACCAAUCAAUACAUUAAUCUUUGUUGAUGCUAUUAAAACGUUUCAUUCAUUCCAUAGUGGCUGAGUAACAUUACACUCCCAGUAUAGAUGUUCAUAAGAUUACAUACAUGAACUACAGAAUGUACAUAAGAUACAAUCGACAAGUUUGAACUUAAAAAAGCAGUUGUUAUUAUUCUUAAAAGAAAUUCGUAAUAAAAACUACGUAAUGUAGUACCUAUUGUAGAUGUGUUUAUAUUACAGUAUAUAUUUUUUCAUUCAAAAUUUUAAUCUGUGUUGCCAGGGUUUCAGUCCACUUUAAUUCUAAGACUGGCGAUGUUGUUGUUGUUUGGAGCAAUAUUGCGUAUAUAAUAUUAUUUUAUUGCUGAUAUUGUACUAAGAGUCUGUGUGGUUUAUUCAACUUUUAAUCAAUUGUAUCUUCGUUUCCGUCGGAAUUAAUUUUAUGAGAGUUAGAUAUUUCAUGAACACGGUGCUCCAUAUGCCGUUUAAAUAUUCAAUUUGAUUUAAAUCAUAACAAAUUUUAGUUCUAUGAUCGAAAAUGUGUUCAAAGUAUUGUACACCUUUUCCAUACCA